rnacentral:tRNA from 1 species
GGAGAGGUCGCAUAGUGGUCGAGUGCACCGUCUUGGAAAGGCGGCAUGCCGUAAGGUAUCGAGGGUUCGAAUCCCUCCCUCUCCG